rnacentral:misc_RNA from 1 species
GAUGAAGAACGUAGCGAAAUGCGAUAAGUAGUGUGAAUUGCAGAAUUCAGUGAAUCAUCGAAUCUUUGAACGCACAUUGCGCCCUUUGGUAUUCCUUAGGGCAUGCCUGUUCGAGCGUCAUCUAAACCUUCAAGCCCUGCUUGGUGUUGGGUGUCUGUCCCGCCUCUGCGCGUGGACUCACCUCAAAUCCAUUGGCGGCCCCCGCGUCGGCCACGAGCGCAGCAGAAACGCGAACUCGUGAGCCCGUCCGGGCGGCUCCCAGAAGCUAACCCCCAAUUUUUGACCUCGGAUCAGGUAGGGAUACCCGCUGAACUUAAGCAUAUCAAUAAGCGGAGGA